UACGUAGGGUGCAAGCGUUGUCCGGAAUUAUUGGGCGUAAAGAGCUCGUAGGUGGUUUGUCGCGUCUGCUGUGAAAACCCGAGGCUCAACCUCGGGCCUGCAGUGGGUACGGGCAGACUAGAGUGCGGUAGGGGAGAUUGGAAUUCCUGGUGUAGCGGUGGAAUGCGCAGAUAUCAGGAGGAACACCGAUGGCGAAGGCAGAUCUCUGGGCCGUAACUGACGCUGAGGAGCGAAAGCAUGGGGAGCGAACAGG
rnacentral:rRNA from 1 species